rnacentral:rRNA from 1 species
GAUGAACGCUGGCGGCGUGCUUAAUACAUGCAAGUCGAACGGUGAUGCUCCAGCUUUCUUGCUUUGAUCAUUGGCGAACGCGUGUGUAACACGUGAGCAACCCGCCCCAGUCUCUCUAAUAUGAGUUCGAAACGCCGUCUAUAAUUGGAUACAAAAUUGUCACCCGCAGGCUUCAUUUGUAAAAUUCUUCGGUUUUGGAUGGUCUCGCGGCCUACCCGCUUCUUUGUGUGGUAAGGGAUCACGAAGCUGACGACGGGUAGCCGGCCUGAGAGGGCGAACGGCCACCAUAGGACUGAGACACGGCCCAGAAUCCUACGGGAGGCAGCAGUGGGGAAUAUUGCGCAAUGGGCGAGAGCCUGAUGCAGCGACGCCGCGUGCGGGAUGACGGCCUUCGGGUUGUAAACCUCUUUCAGCAGGGAAGAAGCGAAAGUGACGGUACCUGCAGAAGAAGCACCGGCUAACUACGUG